rnacentral:rRNA from 1 species
GCAUGCUNGCGGUCUGGGNUCACUCNCNCUNAACAUGCAAGUCGAACGAUGAAGCCCUUCGGGGUGGAUUAGUGGCGAACGGGUGAGUAACACGUGGGCAAUCUGCCCUUCACUCUGGGACAAGCCCUGGAAACGGGGUCUAAUACCGGAUAACACCUGCCCGGGCAUCUGGGUGGGUUAAAAGCUCCGGCGGUGAAGGAUGAGCCCGCGGCCUAUCAGCUUGUUGGUGAGGUAGUGGCUCACCAAGGCGACGACGGGUAGCCGGCCUGAGAGGGCGACCGGCCACACUGGGACUGAGACACGGCCCAGACUCCUACGGGAGGCAGCAGUGGGGAAUAUUGCACAAUGGGCGAAAGCCUGAUGCAGCGACGCCGCGUGAGGGAUGACGGCCUUCGGGUUGUAAACCUCUUUCAGCAGGGAAGAAGCGAAAGUGACGGUACCUGCAGAAGAAGCGCCGGCUAACUACGUGCCAGCAGCCGCGGUAAUACGUAGGGCGCAAGCGUUGUCCGGAAUUAUUGGGCGUAAAGAGCUCGUAGGCGGCUUGUCACGUCGGGUGUGAAAGCCCGGGGCUUAACCCCGGGUCUGCAUUCGAUACGGGCUAGCUAGAGUGUGGUAGGGGAGAUCGGAAUUCCUGGUGUAGCGGUGAAAUGCGCAGAUAUCAGGAGGAACACCGGUGGCGAAGGCGGAUCUCUGGGCCAUUACUGACGCUGAGGAGCGAAAGCGUGGGGAGCGAACAGGAUUAGAUACCCUGGUAGUCCACGCCCGUAAACGGUGGGGAACUAGGUGUUGCCGACAUUNCNCGUNNUUCGGGUGCCGCANCUAACGCCAUUNAGUUCCCCNCCUGGGGGAGUNCGGGCCCCAAGGCUUAAACUNAAAGGNAUUUGACGGGGGGCCC